GACGGAGGGCGCAAGCGUUGUUCGGAAUUACUGGGCGUAAAGCGCGGGCAGGUGGUCCUUUAAGUCCUUUGUGAAAUCCCGGGGCUCAACUCCGGAUGUGCAGAGGAUACUGGUGGACUAGAGACCGGUAGAGGCGAGUGGAAUUCCUGGUGUAGCGGUGGAAUGCGUAGAUAUCUGGAGGAACACCGGUGGCGAAGGCGACAUCCUGGACCGGUAUUGACGCUGAGGCGCGAAAGCCAGGGGAGCAAACGGG
rnacentral:rRNA from 1 species